GGCGAAAAUAAAUACAACUUUCAACAACGGAUCUCUUGGCUCUCGCAUCGAUGAAGAACGCAGCGAAAUGCGAUAAGUAAUGUGAAUUGCAGAAUUCAGUGAAUCAUCGAAUCUUUGAACGCACCUUGCGCCCCUUGG
rnacentral:rRNA from 1 species